rnacentral:sRNA from 2 species
AAAAUUAAAAGAUAAUUUGCUUUAUAGAGAAUUUCCGUGUAAACCGGAAGCGGUCGCGCCACUGUGAAUGGGACAGUCCCAUGAGCCAGACCUCUGUUAAGCUGAUUGCGGUAUGUCUCCGCGCAAGGGACGAACGUGACAGUG